AUUUUAUAAAAAUUUAAUUUAAAUAAUAAAACAUUAAUAAUAAAAAAGUAAAAUUUAAAUUUAAAAAAAGAUAAAUAUUAAAUAAAAAAAUGAAAAUUUAAAAGAAUUAAUUAAUAAAAAAGUAAAAUUAAAUUAUUAUACCUUUUGUAUAAGGGUUAAUUAAUAAAAAAUUCAUAAAGAAUAAACCUCGAAAGUAAAGGAAAUAAAUUUUAAAUUAUUAUUAUUGUAAAAUAAAUAUAAAAAAAUAAAAUUUAGAUUUUAUAAAAAUACAUUUUUACUAUAUCUAGUUAUUAAAGAAAUUAAUUAAAUUAAAAAUAACUUUUAACCUUAAAAAUUAAUUUAUACUAAUAAAGAUUAAUUUUAAUUUUUAAAAGUUAAGUUUUAAAAAAAAAUAUAUACUAAAAAUUAGUUAAAUUAAUAUAAUAUUAAAAAUGUAUAAUAAAAAAAUAUAUCAAAAUCAUAACAAUAAAAAAAAUAUUUUAUAAAAUUUAUAUUAUGAAAAAAUUUAAUUAAAUUAUAAAACAAAAUUAAUAAAUAAAAAAAUGAUUAAAUUAAUAUAUUAGAAAAAUUAAAAUAAAGAAUUAGGCAAAUUAAAUUUUCAACUGUUUAACAAAAACAUAGUUUAAAGAAAAAUAUUCUAAAUAAAUUCUGCUCAAUGAAAUUAAUUAAAUAGCCGCAGUAAAUUAACUGUGCUAAGGUAGCAUAAUAAUUAGUUUUUUAAUUAAAAACUAGAAUGAAAGAAAAAAUGAAAAAUUAACUUUUUAAUUAUAAUAAAUAAAUAUAAAUUAAUUUAUAAGUUAAAAAUCUUAUAUAAAAUAAAAAGACAAGAAGACCCUUUAGAAUUUUAUAAAUAAAAAAAUUUAAUAAUUAUAAAUUUGAAUAUUUAUUAAGUUGGGGAGACUAUGAAAUAUUAAAAACUUUCACUUUUUUAAAACAAAAAUAAAUGAAUCUAUAAAUAUCCAGUUAACAGCCGAAUAAAAAACAAAUUGCCUAAGGGAUAACAGCGUAAAAUUUCUAAAGAGAUCAAAUUUACAGAAUAAAUUACGACCUCGAUGUUGGAUUAAGAAAAAAUUAUAAAGAAGAAUUUAUAAAAAUUAGGUCUGUUCGACCUUUAAUCUCUUACAUGAUCUGAGUUCAGACCGGCGUAAGCCAGGUCAGUUUAUAUCUUUUAUUUAUAAAUUUAUUAUAGUACGAAAGGAUUUAAUAAAUCAAAAAAAUU
rnacentral:rRNA from 1 species